rnacentral:tRNA from 1 species
AAGUUUUGGUGUAUUGGUUAACGCGUCUGACUUUUCCUCAAAGGGGCCAGGUUCGAUACCUGGUGGGGGUUUU